rnacentral:rRNA from 1 species
UACGUAGGCAGCAAGCGUUGUUCGGAGUUACUGGGCGUAAAGGGUGUGUAGGCGGUUGGAUAAGUGUGGUGUGAAAUCUCCCGGCUCAACUGGGAGGGUGCGCUACAAACUGUCUGACUAGAGUGUGGGAUGGGUAAGUGGAAUUCCAGGUGUAGCGGUGAAAUGCGUAGAUAUCUGGAGGAACACCGGUGGCGAAGGCGGCGUUCUGGACUGCAACUGACACUGAGGAACGAAAGCCAGGGGAGCAAACGGG